rnacentral:rRNA from 1 species
CCUGGUGGCGGGCGUCUCGGGAGUGCCGUCGGCGGGUUAUUUGACCCGUCUUGAAACACGGACCAAGGAGUUUAGCAUGGUCGCGAGUCAUUGGGAKYGAGARACCCAUUGGCGCAAUGAAAGUGAGUGCACGCGAUCCCUUCCCCUCGGGGAGGGGCGCAGCGUGGCCCCAUGGCRGCGGCUUGCCGCGCUGUGGAGGCAGAGCGACCACGCUGAGACCCGAAAGAUGGUGAACUAUGCUUGUGCAGCCUGAAGCCAGAGGAAACUCUGGUGGAGGGGCGAAGCGGUUCUGACGUGCAAAUCG